UUGGUCACUCAGCAUCAAGCCGUGAUCUGGGUAGUCUGUUGUCGAUCUCAGUAGCGUGGUUUUGACGGGAGGAUCUAUAUUUUUGAGCCUCCCUCGUUGUACUGACUGGAUGGUGCCUUACCCUUAACUAAUUAUCUUGUAAGGUAGUGGGGACGAGAGAACAUGUCAGUGGAAAAUCAUGUCGGCCCGUGGUAUGUGUGACUUCCUGUACCGUGUUUUGACCAUGUAUCUGGAUUUAUAAGACAGUCUCGGGUAGUGACUAGAUGGGGUCUCAGCUAUUGUCCCGCGAGGCAGUGAGGAGGAUAAAGAACGGGGCAGUGUGAAGUGGUGUCAGCCUAUGGUGUGUGUAUAGUGAAGUAUACUGUUAUGAUGCACUUGGCUCGUAAUAGAACUGAAAUCUCUGUUAACUGGUUACGAAUCUGUUUACUGGUGUGGACUAACGUAAUGAAAGGGAUUGACUUGUUCCUCGUCGUGAUGGUAGCAAGAGGACAUCCAUAAGAGGUGUAGGCCUAUAUAGACUCGGAUGAAGGAGAGAAAAGACGAGACGAAGGAAAGAGAAAAAGUUUGACAGUUGUUGGUGGAAAGGAAACGUUCAUAGGAGGUGCAUAUAGACUCGGAACGUCUCACACUGCACUAAAUUAGAUUACAAAACGAUGGCCACCUACUUAACACCUCGCAGCUGAAGGGAGAGCAUCGAGUAAUCUACAGUACAUACGUUAGACCACUGAAGAAAAGUCCUCGUCAGGGUGGAUACUGAUUCUACGAUGCUGGGAAGGGUUGUGAGCGGAAAUAUCCGAGAUACGGAGACGUGAGCAGAGGAGGAGGAGGAAAGAAGGGGGAGGAGUACCGAGAGAAGGAGUGGAGUCUUUCGCUGGCGGACAGAGAGCGCUGGAGGUGGCGGUGUAGGCGGCGGCAGGUAACUCUUCUUGUGUUUUCAGAGACACACCCACACACACACCAGGAGCUCAACAAAAGAUACAAACAAAAGCCUACAUCAACCACGCGCAGCUUCUGAAAGAGCGCGUGAAAGUAAAUCUCUCGACUGCAACUGCUGCCCGGCUCACACCUGUUGUUCCCGGCCCCUCGCCUGGUCACCUCUCGUUAGUAGUUCCAGGUAUACUAAGGACGUUCAUGCAGCUUCCCCUUGACAUGAACAGGACAGAAGCGAGGAGAAGAGAGAAAAGAAGAGGAGAAGCAUGGAAAGUAAGGAGGAAGAAGGCAGACAUGUUAACCAGACAGGCAGAACGACCCAUCACCUCCCUAGGGCAAUCUCUCAUUCCAACACCUUCUCGUAGUGACAUGGAAAAGAAGGGAGGGCGGUACUGGGGGCCUCGUGCUGCAAACCCGUCACAGCGCCUCUCCAGCAUGCGCGUGUGGCCGGCAGGGACGAGACAGCUAACAGGACACCAGCUGGAGAAACCUAAGCGCUGUGCGUGGCGGUCGGAUCAGUGUUGUCUCUUUCUCUUCAUUGCCGCUGUCUGGAAGCUGGUGGAUGGCCCGUUGGUGGAAGGCAUGAUUGCGCGACCCCUUGCCUCCUGAACACCCACCUGGAGAGACAACAGGGAGAUAAUAGGUGGUUUG